UACGUAGGGUGCGAGCGUUGUCCGGAAUCAUUGGGCGUAAAGAGCUCGUAGGCGGCCUGUUGCGUCCGCUGUGAAAUCCCAGGGCUCAACCCUGGGCGUGCAGUGGAUACGGGCAGGCUGGAGGCAGGCAGGGGAGAACGGAAUUCCUGGUGUAGCGGUGAAAUGCGUAGAUAUCAGGAGGAACACCGGUGGCGAAGGCGGUUCUCUGGGCCUUACCUGACGCUGAGGAGCGAAAGCGUGGGGAGCGAACAGG
rnacentral:rRNA from 1 species